UAGGGAAUCUUCCGCAAUGGGCGAAAGCCUGACGGAGCAACGCCGCGUGAGUGAUGAAGGUCUUCGGAUCGUAAAACUCUGUUAUUAGGGAAGAACAAAUGUGUAAGUAACUAUGCACGUCUUGACGGUACCUAAUCAGAAAGCCACGGCUAACUACGUGCCAGCAGCCGCGGUAAUACGUAGGUGGCAAGCGUUAUCCGGAAUUAUUGGGCGUAAAGCGCGCGUAGGCGGUUUUUUAAGUCUGAUGUGAAAGCCCACGGCUCAACCGUGGAGGGUCAUUGGAAACUGGAGAACUUGAGUGCAGAAGAGGAAAGUGGAAUUCCAUGUGUAGCGGUGAAAUGCGCAGAGAUAUGGAGGAACACCAGUGGCGAAGGCGACUUUCUGGUCUGUAACUGACGCUGAUGUGCGAAAGCGUGGGGAUCAAACAGG
rnacentral:rRNA from 1 species